rnacentral:ncRNA from 2 species
AUGACUGGAUGAGGCGCAAAGAUCAUUAGUACUUAAUCAUACGAAGAACCUGUAAGUUCGUGAUAAGGAAAGGGAGAUUUGCCGAAAUGGUUUAUAUUUUGCAGAAUAUAAACUGUUGGGCUGUAUAUGAAGAAUAGACAGACUGCCGUUUUAUAAGUAGACGACCUAAUAAUUGAAUAGGUAAUCUACUUUACGGAGUGCUUCCGCUUGU